CUUGUAGCGAAGAGAAGCAAUAGUAAGGUGUUUCGGAUCCAAAGAGAGCCUUCGGUUGGUGUAAGAGGGCGUGACGGAAACUUGAACUCGGCUUUGAGCUAAGAAGGGUCGCAACUUCUUCGGAUCACCCCGUUAUCGGUGUCAAGGGCACGGAAUGUAUUCCGUGAACUAAGGUGGUACCGCGUCAAACGUCCUUAGA
rnacentral:ncRNA from 1 species